AGUUUUUACCAGGUAAAAGUGGAAGGCAUGAGGAAAGUACCCAACAGCAGCAGCCUUUUAAACUUUAAAUAGACAGGUCUGAGUGCCCAAACUUGCCUGUUCAUUUUAUUUCAUCCUCCAAGGAGUUCAAUCACUUGGCAUGCCUACUUCACUUUUCAACAAACAAGUGGGCCCAGGCAAU
rnacentral:other from 1 species